AGCCAUGUAGAAGAUCGUCCAUAUAGA
rnacentral:sRNA from 1 species